UACGGAGGGUGCGAGCGUUGUUCGGAAUUACUGGGCGUAAAGCGCGUGUAGGUGGUCUGUCAUGUCAGGUGUGAAAGCCCUCGGCCUAACCGAGGAAGUGCGCCUGAAACUGCCAGACUUGAGUACGAGAGAGGAGGACGGAAUUCCCAGUGUAGAGGUGAAAUUCGUAGAUAUUGGGAGGAACACCGGUGGCGAAAGCGGUUCUCUGGAUCGAUACUGACACUAAGACGCGAAAGCGUGGGGAGCAAACAGGAUUAGAUCCCCUGGUAGUCCACGCCGUAAACGAUGGAUAUUAGUUGUUGCGAGUUUAACCCUCGCAGUGACGACGCUAACGCAUUAAAUAUCCCGCCUGGGAAGUACGGCCGCAAGGUUAAA
rnacentral:rRNA from 1 species